AAAGCCAAGUAGAAGCCAUCCGCUUCUCACCUCAUGGCGGCAGCUUUAUGAGGUAAGUGGGUUUUUGCUCAUUAUUGUAGUAAGGAAGACGGGUGGAAGUCCGUCUUUUUAUUUUUGC
rfam:Syntrophobotulus glycolicus DSM 8271, complete genome.